AGCAAAUGUGCCACGUCAAGACUGGAAAUCACAGCCCUUGAGUGUGUCUCAGUCAGCGCAGCAGAAUUCAGGGGGGAAAGCUGAAUGCAACCCCUGGUGCAGGAAGGGAGGCUUUUCCUGAGGACCGGGAGAGGAUUUUAAGUUUUGCACACUAGGGACCAAGAAGCCCUCGGGGACACUGCUGAGAAAAGACUGCCGAAGGGAAGACCAGCGGGAGAUAUACAAAUAUUUUAGGGAUCAUGGAAUCUAUUCCAGAGGAAACUAACCAACAGUGAGCAUCUUCAACUAAAACUACCCCUGGAUGUAAUAAGUGUAAGUAUUAAAAUUAAACAUUAUAUGUGGUCAUGAAGAGAAAAUUGUUUCAGGGUCUGUCCAAACUACACUUCAUAGAAAUUUCAUAAUUAUUUUUCAUUUUAGCAUGUGAAUGAUUGAUAAAUUGGACUAGGUACUGGGUUAAAAGGACUUUUCCACCAUCUAAGAGAAAGGAAGUUCAGAGCCUUAGCUUCAACACCACAAUUUCUUAACUGGAAAAGGAUCAAUCUAAAACGGUGGACUUAAAUUUUCAAACUCAUUUUUCUUUUAGGCCACAGAUCUCAAAAUCAAAGAAAGACUGUUUACUAUAGGACAAAGUUUCACACUGAUCACUUUCCUGUAGUUAGUCAAUAGGCUUAAUAUCCUUCCUGCUUGGCAUUCGGG
rnacentral:lncRNA from 1 species